AUUAAGUAGCCCAUGCUCCUCCUUGGCGUCCUUGCUUAGCCGCUACUCCUUGCAGGCUGCAGUGGCAGCAAUUUUUUUUGAAUUUGUUUUCCCUUAAGUAAGAAUGACGACAAGAACCAUCGUAUUGAAGUUCUAUUUAACUAAUCGUGUUUUUACGAAGAAACAGAUGUACUCAUAGCCGUUCCUAUAUGAACGCUUUAUUUUGUGAAAUCGAAAGAGAUGUUUUAGUAAAGCUUCAAAAACUGAUUAUGUGAUGGACAGUGAAACCGUUCAAGAGAAUACUGGCCAUACCAGUUCAGUGAUACCUGAUGAUCAGAUGCCAUUCAUCCUGUGAGAGUUCUCUCAAACCAGGUUGAUAGCAAGGUUGAUAGUCAAAUAGUUGAAGAGAACGUGCCAGUUCAGUGAUCUCUUGCUGCAGAUGCCAUUAGUCAUGUGACAAUUCUUUCAAACGUACCAAGUUGAUAGUCAAAUAGAAGAAGAGAAUACUGGCCGUGCCAGUUCAGUGAUCUCUUGCUGCAGCCAUCCAUCCUGUGACAGUUCUCUUAUACCGGGUUGAUAUUCAAAUAGAUGAAGAUAAUACUGGCCAUACCAGUUUCAGUGAUAACUGAUGAUCAGAUGCCAUUCAUCCUGUGAGAGUUCUCUCAAACCAGGUUGAUAGCAAGGUUGAUAGUCAAAUAGUUGAAGAGAACGUGCCAGUUCAGUGAUCUCUUGCUGCAGAUGCCAUUAGUCAUGUGACAAUUCUUUCAAACGUACCAAGUUGAUAGUCAAAUAGAAGAAGAGAAUACUGGCCGUGCCAGUUCAGUGAUCUCUUGCUGCAGCCAUCCAUCCUGUGACAGUUCUCUUAUACCGGGUUGAUAUUCAAAUAGAUGAAGAUAAUACUGGCCAUACCAGUUUCAGUGAUAACUGAUGAUGCCAUUCAUCCUGUGAGAGUUCUCUCAAACCAGGUUGAUAGCAAGGUUGAUAGUCAAAUAGUUGAAGAGAACGUGCCAGUUCAGUGAUCUCUUGCUGCAGCCAUCCAUCCUGUGACAGUUCUCUUAUACCGGGUUGAUAUUCAAAUAGAUGAAGAUAAUACUGGCCAUACCAGUUUCAGUGAUAACUGAUGAUCAGAUAUGCCAUUCAUCCUGUGACAGUUCUCUCAGGCCACGUUGAUAGUCAAAUAGUUAAUAGUUAAAGGGAACACUGGCCGUGCCAGUUCAGUGAUCUCUGCUGCUGAUGCCAUCCUUUUUAUGACAGUUCUCUCAAACCAUGUUGAUAGUCAAAAUAAAUGAUGAUAAUCUGUCAGCGGACACUUGGUUGUGUGGUUAGAGUACCCGCGCCGUGAUUCGUUGAGUCGCACGUUCAAGUCUCUUGCUGGAAGUUCAUUUUGAAUUUUCGCCUUUUGCGCGGAAAACUGU